rnacentral:rRNA from 1 species
UACGGAGGGGGCUAGCGUUGUUCGGAAUUACUGGGCGUAAAGGGUGCGUAGGCGGGUUUUUAAGUCAGAGGUGAAAUCCUGGAGCUCAACUCCAGAACUGCCUUUGAUACUGAGAAUCUUGAGUUCGGGAGAGGUGAGUGGAACUGCGAGUGUAGAGGUGAAAUUCGUAGAUAUUCGCAAGAACACCAGUGGCGAAGGCGGCUCACUGGCCCGAUACUGACGCUGAGGCACGAAAGCGUGGGGAGCAAACAGG